AUACGGAGGGUGCAAGCGUUACUCGGAAUCACUGGGCGUAAAGCGCGCGCAGGCGGUCUUUUAAGUUGGAUGUGAAAGCCUACGGCUCAACCGUAGAACUGCAUCCAAAACUAUUAGACUAGAGUGUGGGAGAGGAAGAUGGAAUUAGUUGUGUAGGGGUAAAAUCCGUAGAGAUAACUAGGAAUACCAAAAGCGAAGGCAUUCUUCUGGAACACUACUGACGCUGAGGCGCGAAAGCGUGGGGAGCAAACAGGAUUAGAAACCCUAGUAGUCC
rnacentral:rRNA from 1 species